CCUACGGGCGGCUACAGUAGGGAAUCUUCCGCAAUGGACGAAAGUCUGACGGAGCAACGCCGCGUGAGCGAAGAAGGUCUUCGGAUCGUAAAGCUCUGUUGUCAGGGAAGAACAAGUACCGAAGGAAAUGGCGGUACCUUGACGGUACCUGACGAGAAAGCCACGGCUAACUACGUGCCAGCAGCCGCGGUAAUACGUAGGGGGCAAGCGUGGUCCGGUAUUAUUUGGCGGAAAGCGGGCCCAGGCGGUUCCUUAAGUCUGAUCUAAAAUCUUGCGGCUCAACCGGCCACGGUCAUUGGAAAAUAGGGGACGUGAGUGGAGAAGUGGAAAGCCGAAUUCCACGUGUAGCGGUGAAAUGCGUAGAGAUGGGGGGGAACCCCAGUGGCGAAGGCGGCUUUCUGGUCUGUAACUGACGCUGAGGCGCGAAAGCGUGGGGAGCAAACAGGAUUAGAUACCCCGGUAGUC
rnacentral:rRNA from 1 species